rnacentral:tRNA from 1 species
UGGAGGGUGUUGCCAGUGGGCACUGGACGCCGUCUGUAAAACGGUCGAGUGGCCUUAGCCAGCCACUAGGGUUCGACUCCCUCGCCCUCCGC